rnacentral:rRNA from 1 species
CAACCUGCCUAUCAGAGGGGAACAACAGUUAGAAAUGACUGCUAAUACCGCAUAUGCCUAAGUACCACAUGGUACAAUAGGGAAAGGAGUAAUCCGCUGAUAGAUGGGCUUGCGUCUGAUUAGAUAGUUGGUGGGGUAAUGGCCUACCAAGUCGACGAUCAGUAGCCGGACUGAGAGGUUGAACGGCCACAUUGGGACUGAGAUACGGCCCAGACUCCUACGGGAGGCAGCAGUCGGGAAUAUUGCGCAAUGGAGGAAACUCUGACGCAGUGACGCCGCGUGCAGGAAGAAGGUUUUCGGAUUGUAAACUGCUUUAGACAGGGAAGAAACAAGACAGUACCUGUAGAAUAAGCUCCGGCUAACUACGUGCCAGCAGCCGCGGUAAUACGUAGGGAGCGAGCGUUAUCCGGAUUUAUUGGGUGUAAAGGGUGCGUAGACGGGAAGAUAAGUUAGUUGUGAAAUCCCUCGGCUUAACUGAGGAACUGCAACUAAAACUGUUUUUCUUGAGUACUGGAGAGGAAAGUGGAAUUCCUAGUGUAGCGGUGAAAUGCGUAGAUAUUAGGAGGAACACCAGUGGCGAAGGCGACUUUCUGGACAGAAACUGACGUUGAGGCACGAAAGUGUGGGGAGCAAACAGGAUUAGAUACCCUGGUAGUCCACACCGUAAACGAUGGAUACUAGGUGUAGGGGAUAAUAAAUUCUCUGUGCCGUCGCAACGCAAUAAGUAUCCCACCUGGGGAGUAC